AUUGAACGCUGGCGGCAUGCCUUACACAUGCAAGUCGAACGGUAACAGGUCUUUGGAUGCUGACGAGUGGCGAACGGGUGAGUAAUACAUCGGAACGUGCCUAGUAGUGGGGGAUAACUACUCGAAAGAGUGGCUAAUACCGCAUGAGAUCUACGGAUGAAAGCAGGGGAUCGCAAGACCUUGUGCUACUAGAGCGGCCGAUGGCAGAUUAGGUAGUUGGUGGGAUAAAAGCUUACCAAGCCGACGAUCUGUAGCUGGUCUGAGAGGACGAUCAGCCACACUGGGACGGAGACACGGCCCAGACUCCUACGGGAGGCAGCAGUGGGGAGUUUUGGACAAUGGGCGCAAGCCUGAUUCAGCAAUGCCGCGUGCAGGAUGAAGGCCUUCGGGUUGUAAACUGCUUUUGUACGGAACGAAAAGCCCUGGGUUAAUACCCUGGGGUCAUGACGGUACUGUAAGAAUAAGCACCGGCUAACUACGUGCCAGCCGCCGCGGUAACAC
rnacentral:rRNA from 1 species